ACUUUCAACAACGGAUCUCUUGGCUCUCGCAUCGAUGAAGAACGUAGCGAAGUGCGAUAAGUAAUGUGAAUUGCAAAUUCUGUGAAUCAUCGAAUCUUUGAACGCAAAUUGCACUCUGUAUUCGGAGAGUAUGCCUGUUUGAGGGUCAGUAUAU
rnacentral:rRNA from 1 species